rnacentral:rRNA from 1 species
UACGGAGGAUCCAAGCGUUAUCCGGAAUCAUUGGGUUUAAAGGGUCCGUAGGCGGUUAGUAAGUCAGUGGUGAAAGCCCAUCGCUCAACGGUGGAACGGCCAUUGAUACUGCUAGACUUGAAUUAUUAGGAAGUAACUAGAAUAUGUAGUGUAGCGGUGAAAUGCUUAGAGAUUACAUGGAAUACCAAUUGCGAAGGCAGGUUACUACUAAUGGAUUGACGCUGAUGGACGAAAGCGUGGGUAGCGAACAGG